rnacentral:rRNA from 1 species
UGACCCUACGGGACGCAGCAGUGGGGAAUAUUGCGCAAUGGGCGAAAGCCUGACGCAGCGACGCCGCGUGAGGGAUGAAGGUCUUCGGAUCGUAAACCUCUGUCAGCAGGGAAGAACGGUCACUGUGCUAAUCAGCAGUGAAUUGACGGUACCUGACUAAGAAGCCCCGGCUAACUACGUGCCAGCAGCCGCGGUAAUACGUAGGGGGCAAGCGUUAUCCGGAUUUACUGGGUGUAAAGGGCGCGUAGACGGCAGGGCAAGUCUGGAGUGAAAGCCCGUGGCCCAACCCCGGGACGGCUGUGGAA